rnacentral:misc_RNA from 1 species
UUUCCGUAGGUGAACCUGCGGAAGGAUCAUUAACAAAAAAAUAAAAAUCCACCUUAGGAAAAAAUCCUGGAGAAGAAAUUCAAAGGGGCUUUUUCCUUAAGCAAACAGUGAACUUUGUUAAAGUUUCUAAUAAGAUCUACCGAAAGGUUGUAUCUUAUUUUAAAAACAAAACUUGUUUAAUUAUUUUGUCUUAUCCUUCUUAAACUGAAUUUACUUCAGAAAGAAUAUUUAAACCAAAAGUAACAACUUUUAACAACGGAUAUCUUGGCUCUU